UGAGAUAAUUAUACGGUCGCGGGGCGCGAGAGCGCAAUGAGGAAAGUCCGAGCACCACAGGGCAGGAUGCCUGCUAACGGCAGGUGAAGGCGACUUUAAGGAAAGUGCAACAGAAAUAAACCGCAUCGCAAGAUGCAAGGGUGGAAAGGCGAGGUAAGAGCUCACCGACUUUACGGUAACGUAGAGUGCCAUGUAAACCCCAUCCGGUGCAAGAUUGGGAAUCAGUCGCAUAGGGCGGCUCGUCCGAUUGAUUCCGUGAAUAUCGCUUGACCCUAUCGGCGACGGUAGGGCUAGAUAAAUGACCGUACACGACAGAACUCGGCUUACCGAUUAUCUCAAUUC
rnacentral:RNase_P_RNA from 1 species